rnacentral:rRNA from 1 species
AGAGCGAACGCUGGCGGCAGGCUUAACACAUGCAAGUCGAGCGGAUGUAGCAAUACAUCAGCGGCAGACGGGUGAGUAACACGUGGGAACGUACCUUUUGGUUCGGAACAACACAGGGAAACUUGUGCUAAUACCGGAUAAGCCCUUACGGGGAAAGAUUUAUCGCUGAAGGAUCGGCCCAAGCCAGAUUAUGGUAGUUGGUGGGGUAAAAGCCUACCAAGCCUACGAUCUGUAGCUGGUCUGAGAGGACGACCAGCCACACUGGAACUGAGACACGGUCCAGACUCCUACGGGAGGCAGCAGUGGGGAAUAUUGGACAAUGGGCGGCAAGCCUGAUCCAGCCAUGCCGCGUGAAUGAUGAAGGCCUUAGGGUUGUAAAGUUCUUUUGUCAGGGAGAUGAUGACGGUACCUGAAGAAUAAGCACCGGCUAACUUCGUGCCAGCAGCCGC